UCGAUUUCUAGACUUCCAAUGGCAUUGUGGUCUCCCAUCUUCAUUCUUCCCUCUCAUUCUCAGUCCCCAAUGUCUCAUCUCCCUGGACCCUGACUCUCCAGUCUCCCUAUCUGCCAGCUCUCAACCUCUCACAAUCGCGACUUGCUUCCAACUUCCAAGCUCCGUCUCAAUCCCUGACUCUCCCAGCCUCCAUCGGUCUCUCAGUUUCAACUCUCAAGCUCCAGCCUCCAUCGUUCUCUCAAUUGCCUCUCAGCUCCCUCGAAUCUCUCACAGUCCUACGCCUCUGUGCGAUGCUUGACCCACGAUCCAAAUUGGAAGUUUUGGAGUUUUGGUUUAUUGAUUUUAUUGGUCCUGAGCGAGCAUCCGAGCUUGUUGCAUGACUAAGGGGAAUCAUUGAGUGGUUGUAUAAUCAAUAUUCAAGUAGGAGCCAAUCAAGUGCUGGUGAGACCCAAAGCAACACUUCUUAUGAUGAUGAGGAUGAUCUCUAUAGUAGGUAUCACCAAUAUCAAGCAUCAAACGCUAUUGCAGAGUCCAAAUUAGAAUUGGAUAAUUAUUUCAUGGGAGGCCUUGAAGGAUUGACACCCGAAUUUGGUAUUCUAAUAUGGUGGAAGGUGAACUCAAGCAAAUAUCCGGUCCUUGCCAAUAUAGCAAGGGAUGUGUUAGCUAUUCCCAUCUCUACUGUUGCUUCUAAGUCGACAUUUAGCGUUGGGGGUCGUGUGUUAGAUUCAUUUAGAAGCUCCUUGAUCCCAAAAACAGUUAAAGCUCUUAUUUGCAUUUUGCACUCAAAAUUGAUUGAAAGCUCCCUCCAUUAAUUAUGACUCCCAAGACUUGAUGGAAGAUGCUGAAAGCUAUAAGCUAGAAGAUGAGAUGAUUUCGAAUAAUGGUUUGAAUAUAAACACUUGAAGAAUAUGAGUAUAUGCUCUGCUAUGUGGGGUGGAUGUUCUCCUACCAUUUUGGGUAGAGUAAUUGGGAGAAUAUUAGUAAUAUUCCUGUCUCUUGUAA